UACGAAGGGGGCUAGCGUUGCUCGGAAUUACUGGGCGUAAAGCGUGCGCAGGCGGUGAUGUAAGACAGUUGUGAAAUCCCCGGGCUCAACCUGGGAACUGCAUCUGUGACUGCAUCGCUGGAGUGUGGCAGAGGGGGGUGGAAUUCCGCGUGUAGCAGUGAAAUGCGUAGAGAUGCGGAGGAACACCGAUGGCGAAGGCAGCCCCCUGGGCUAGCACUGACGCUCAGGCACGAAAGCGUGGGGAGCAAACAGG
rnacentral:rRNA from 1 species